GACGUAGGGCGCGAGCGUUGUCCGGAUUUAUUGGGCGUAAAGAGCUCGUAGGCGGCUUGUCACGUCGGGUGUGAAAGCCCGGGGCUUAACCCCGGGUCUGCAUUCGAUACGGGCUAGCUAGAGUGUGGUAGGGGAGAUCGGAAUUCCUGGUGUAGCGGUGAAAUGCGCAGAUAUCAGGAGGAACACCGAUGGCGAAGGCAGGUCUCUGGGCAUUAACUGACGCUGAGGAGCGAAAGCGUGGGGAGCAAACAGG
rnacentral:rRNA from 1 species